rnacentral:ncRNA from 2 species
UGGGCUGGCAGAAAUGUCAAGGUCCAACCUAUCGGCGGGGAGACUCCCC